UACGUAGGGGGCAAGCGUUGUCCGGAUUUAUUGGGCGUAAAGAGCGUGUAGGCGGUUUGGUAGGUCCGCUGUGAAAACUCGAGCUCAACCUCGAGACGCCGGUGGAAACCAUCAGACUAGAGUCCGGAAGAGGAGAGUGGAAUUCCUGGUGUAGCGGUGAAAUGCGCAGAUAUCAGGAAGAACACCCGUGGCUAAGGCGGCUCUCUAGUACGGUACUGACGCUGAGACGCGAAAGCGUGGGGAGCGAACGGG
rnacentral:rRNA from 1 species